UGUUCCCUGCGGUGUUGGUCAGGGCCAUAUAUUCCUUGAACCAAUGUUGCUACGGCACCGGCUGCAAACCAGGCGUCGAUGUUGUGAGCGGCCUUCCAUGGUUGCUCCUGAUUCGACAGGAAUGCGGCCAUUCUGAACCACCGGUUCAGGAUGCCGGCCCGACGGCACUCGCGGGGAGCCG
rnacentral:other from 1 species